GGGGGGGGCGGGGGGGGGGGGUAGGGGAGGGGGGGGGAACGGAAGGGGGGGGGGUGGGGGGGGGGGUGGAGGGGCGAGCGGGGGGGUAGGAGGGGAGGAAGCUGCCCUGGGGUGUGGGAUAACUUCAGGAAACUGGGGCGAAGGCCGGAUAGGAGCGCCUGCUGCAGGGGGGGGGUGGGAAGGGUUCGGCGGUGGGGGGAGGACUGGGGGCGUAUCAGCUGGUGUGGGGGGUAGGGGCUUACCAAGGCUUUGACGGGUAGCCGGCCUGAGCGGGUGACCGGCCCCAUUGGGACUGAGGUACGGCCCAGACUCCUACGGGAGGCAGCAGUGGGGAAUAUUGCACAAUGGGCGGAAGCCUGAUGCAGCAACGCCGCGUGCGGGAUGACGGCCUUCGGGUUGUAAACCGCUUUCGCCUGUGACGAAGCGUGAGUGACGGUAAUGGGUAAAGAAGCACCGGCUACCUACGUG
rnacentral:rRNA from 1 species